rnacentral:rRNA from 1 species
GCACAAGCGGUGGAUGAUGUGGUUUAAUUCGAUGCAACGCGAAAACCUUACCCACCUUGACAUGGCAGGAAUCCCGAAGAGAUUUGGGAGUGCUCGAAAGAGAACCUGCACACAGGUGCUGCAUGGCUGUCGUCAGCUCGUGUCGUGAGAUGUUGGGUUAAGUCCCGCAACGAGCGCAACCCUUGCCAUUAGUUGCUACGAAAGGGCACUCUAAUGGGACUGCCGGUGACAAACCGGAGGAAGGUGGGGAUGACGUCAAGUCCUCAUGGCCCUUAUAGGUGGGGCUACACACGUCAUACAAUGGCCAGUACAGAGGGUAGCCAACCCGCGAGGGGGAGCCAAUCCCACAAAGCCGGUCGUAGUCCGGAUCGCAGUCUGCAACUCGACUGCGUGAAGUCGGAAUCGCUAGUAAUCGCGGAUCAGCAUGUCGCGGUGAAUACGUUCCCGGGUCUU